CAGUAGCCGCGGUAAUACGGAGGGUGCAAGCGUUAAUCGUAAUUACUGGGCGUAAAGCGCACGCAGGCGGUCUGACAAGUCAGAUGUGAAAUCCCCGGGCUUAACCUGGGAACUGCAUUUGAAACUGUCAGGCUGGAGUCUUGUAGAGGGGGGUGGAAUUCCAGGUGUAGCGGUGAAAUGCGUAGAGAUCUGGAGGAAUACCGGUGGCGAAGGCGGCCCCCUGGACAAAGACUGACGCUCAGGUGCGAAAGCGUGGGGAGCAAACAGGAUUAGAUACCCGAGUAGUCCCUGUCUCUUAUAC
rnacentral:rRNA from 1 species